rnacentral:tRNA from 1 species
GCCUCGUUAGCUCAGCGGACAGAGCGGCCCGUUCCUAGCGGGUAGGUCGGCUGUUCGAUCCAGCCACGAGGCACCA